rnacentral:rRNA from 1 species
ACAGCAGCCGCCACGGUAAUACGGAGGGAGCUAGCGUUGUUCGGAAUUACUGGGCGUAAAGCGCGCGUAGGCGGUUACUCAAGUCAGAGGUGAAAGCCCGGGGCUCAACCCCGGAACUGCCUUUGAAACUAGGUGACUAGAAUCUUGGAGAGGUCAGUGGAAUUCCGAGUGUAGAGGUGAAAUUCGUAGAUAUUCGGAAGAACACCAGUGGCGAAGGCGACUGACUGGACAAGUAUUGACGCUGAGGUGCGAAAGCGUGGGGAGCAAACAGGAUUAGAUACCCCAGUAGUCCCUGUCUCUUAUAC